UCGAAAUGCAUUCAUUUAUCUGCUACUUUAAUUCGCCUGAAUUAAAACACCUUUAAAUAUGAGUUACCUGACAAGGAGCUUUGAUGCAGGAGGAAGCCAAUUUGUUUGAUUUGAUUUUCAAUUUUGUUUGACUGCCAGACAGGCAGACAGAGUAAAAAAAUUCUCACUCCUCUCUGCGCACGUGCGAUCGGGACAAAUUCAUCGCCAAAUUAAUGUUAAACUACAGGUUCAUUUUCCAAUUCACGUUCAAAGUAUAACAUUCAAUUGAAAUGAAGUUGUUCCUCAAUCAUAAACUGAUGUUUGUAGACAGACAGACAAAGUGAACCAAUUGCUUAACCACGCUUUUUGCUUUACGCAUGCGGAGUAAUUACAAUGCGAUUUUUACACGAGUUUGUUGCCUAAUAAUUGUAAUUAAAUAUGUAGUGGAUCACUCUAUAUAUAGCAAAGCAGUCCACACUGAGUUGAAUGUUGCGCACUUUGUUAUUUAUUGUAGGAUAUGGCCCUUCACGGUGGAAAGUUCAUCGAGUCAGAUGCGCGACCUCGCAGGCACUUCAGACACUCAGUCGGACCACAGCUAUGAGUCUUGUGAGCCGGCAACCUCAACUACGACUGACAUCUACAGUAACUUGCACUAUAUGGUCACCACACAAGAAGAACUUUCAGAAAGUAACUUCGACACAGGCAGCUCACAAAGCUGGCCAAAUGGUCAGCAGUAUGAAAGUACGGAAAGCAGUGGAUACUUCGACAUGGGUGAGCGGAGGCCACCAUUGUAUGGAGUUUGGCAGACCACCAAUCAAAACGGAGGACGAGUGUGGGUUAGUUUUACACCAUGCAGAAAAUGUAAACAUUCUUCCACUCAUAUCUUCAUUUCCUUCUGCCAAAGCUUUUGCUGUGCCACCCAGCGAACUUAUGAUUGGUUGUAUGGUUUUGCAGCUGACGCAAAGUGCAUGCAAAAGUAAAUAACGAGCAACAUCUACUAUUAAUUAAUGUUAUUAAUGCAGAAUGUCACGUGUUUAAUUCCAGGACAUGCUGCCAAUGGAGGAUAUCUUGGAGGAAGGAAGUUCAGAUGUAUCAAAUGAUAAUCAGCCACUUUCAUCUCUUAUGGUGGCAAAAUCCAAUCAACCGCACGGCCUCCUCGUUUAAAACAAUUUAAUAACCAUGUGUAACCCCAUACUUGCAUGCAGUUGUUCAAUGUAGGCCUAUAUCCAAUAACCUCAGCUUUAUUCCAAUUCCACACCGACAUGCCAAAUAAAUUCCUGCAAGUCAAAGUAACUUUCAAGCCUUUUUGAAACAUUUUCGUUCCUCUUUGCCAAGCUUGCUUUGUAACUGAAGGAUCUUUUCUUUUUCACUAUUCACUGACGCCUUGAGCCAGGAAGUUGCGUAAAAUUGUUGUUGCUUUUUGACUUUAAUAAUUUCAAAAUAUUUCCCCAUAAUUUCACAUCAACAGGUAGGAAAGCUUGGUGUUGGCUCAGUUGUUAGGGUGGCUGGCUUGGGAUCUUCGGUUCCUGAGUUCAAGCGCCUGUUGGCUGUUGAAGUAACACGAGGUGGGGUGGUUAAUUCAGCCUGUGUUGCUUCUGAGGUUGGUGAAAUGAGCACCAGUGCACUAAUAAUGGGGGUAUUGCAUCAGUGGCAGCUUUUUUAGCUGUAUUGUUUUCUUUCCUCACCGAUGAAUCAUCAAUCUCAAUUCAAUUCAUUAAAUGCUCAUUAUGUAAAAUUAAUCAAUGUGACAGUCUGACUCCACCAACUUCGGAUGAGAUUCUGUCUUUAAUAGACCCUUAAAAAGUGAGUCGAUGAAGAAUGCAUUGCAGGCCUCAGACUUUUGAAGAAGCAUGCAAACUACCACCUCCCAGACCCCCCCCCCCCCCCCCCCC
rnacentral:lncRNA from 1 species